AUUGAACGCUGGCGGCAUGCUUUACACAUGCAAAUCGAACGGUAACAGGUUAAGCUGACGAGUGGCGAACGGGUGAGUAAUGCAUCGGAACGUGCCCGGUCGUGGGGGAUAACGCAGCGAAAGCUGCGCUAAUACCGCAUACGAUCUGAGGAUGAAAGCGGGGGACCGUAAGGCCUCGCGCGAUCGGAGCGGCCGAUGUCAGAUUAGGUAGUUGGUGGGGUAAAGGCUCACCAAGCCAACGAUCUGUAGCUGGUCUGAGAGGACGACCAGCCACACUGGGACUGAGACACGGCCCAGACUCCUACGGGAGGCAGCAGUGGGGAAUUUUGGACAAUGGGCGAAAGCCUGAUCCAGCAAUGCCGCGUGCAGGAAGAAGGCCUUCGGGUUGUAAACUGCUUUUGUACGGAGCGAAAAGGUCUCCUCUAAUACAGGGGGCUCAUGACGGUACCGUAAGAAUAGCACCGGCUAACUACGUGCCAGCAGCCGCAGUAA
rnacentral:rRNA from 1 species